AGUGAACGCUGGCGGUAGGCCUAACACAUGCAAGUCGAACGGCAGCACAGUAAGAGCUUGCUCUUACGGGUGGCGAGUGGCGGACGGGUGAGGAAUACAUCGGAAUCUACUUUUUCGUGGGGGAUAACGUAGGGAAACUUACGCUAAUACCGCAUACGACCUACGGGUGAAAGCAGGGGAUCUUCGGACCUUGCGCGAUUGAAUGAGCCGAUGUCGGAUUAGCUAGUUGGCGGGGUAAAGGCCCACCAAGGCGACGAUCCGUAGCUGGUCUGAGAGGAUGAUCAGCCACACUGGAACUGAGACACGGUCCAGACUCCUACGGGAGGCAGAAGUGGGGAAUAUUGGACAAUGGGCGGAAGCCUGAUCCAGCCAUACCGCGUGGGUGAAGAAGGCCUUCGGGUUGUAAAGCCCUUUUGUUGGGAAAGAAAAGCAGCAGGUUAAUACCCCGCUGUUCUGACGGUACCCAAAGGAUAAGCACCGGCUAACUUCGUG
rnacentral:rRNA from 1 species